rnacentral:rRNA from 1 species
AUUGAACGCUGGCGGCAGGCCUAACACAUGCAAGUCGAGCGAGAGGCGUACGGGCGCGUUAUGUAUGGGGAUCUGCCUGAGGGCGGGGGAUAACUACUGGCAACGGUUGCUAAUACCGCAUACCAUCCGAUGAACCCAUAUGGGAUGAGCUAGUAGGUGAGGGAACGGCUUACCUAGGCGCCGAUCCCUAGGUGGUCUGAGAGGAUGACCAGCCACACGGGGAGUGAGACACGGCCCAGACUCCUACGGGAGGCAGCAGUGGGGAAUAUUGCACAAUGGGCUAAAGCCGGAUGCAGCCAUGCCGCGUGUAUGAAGAAGGCCUUCGGGUUGGAAAGUACUGUAAGUCGGGAGGCGGUACCGACAGAAGAAGCACCGGCUAACUCCGUGCCAGCAGCCGCGGUAAUUC